rnacentral:rRNA from 1 species
GAUUCAGGGAGGCAGUGACAAGAAAUAACAACUUUCAACUUUGUUGAAAAGUGUAAUGAGGAUAAUUUACAAACCUUACCGAAAGCAAUUGGAGGGCAAGUCUGGUGCCAGCAGCCGCGGUAAUUCCAGCUCCAAAAGCGUAUAUUAAAGUUGUUGCAGUUAAAAAGCUCGUAGUUGAAGUUCUGGUUGUAUUGGGCCUCUGCACUCGAUGCGGAGGAACCAGCAGUCAUCCGCUUGCAAAUACAUGUCCUUCCUUAACCGGUAGGCUGUAUAAGUAAGCACUUUACCUUGAGAAAAACAGAGUGUUCCAGGCAGGUUUGUCCGGAAUGCGUUAGCAUGGAAUAAUAGAAUAUGACUGAAGUCGAUUUAUGGUUAAAGGCUUUAGUAAUGAUUAAUAGGAACAAUCGGGGGCAUUGGUACUUGUCAGUCAGAGGUGAAAUUCUAGGAUUUGACAAAGACUAACUGAUGCGAAAGCGUUUGCCAAGAAUGUUUCAUUAAU